ACUUACCAGGUCAAGACAUGGGCGUGAUUGACAGGCUAAUGACUUUUCUCGAUUCCAUGGAUGGUGGUGCAUGGUCGCACUUAGUUGGUGCAGUGAUUUGUCAGGUUUAUUCCGGUAACGAACGAGACCUCGGCCUUGUAAAUAGCUAUGCUGCUUACAGGGACAUUGGCGGCUACGCCAAGGAAGCUCGAGGCAAUUGCAGAUCUGGAAUGCCCUUAGAUGUCCUGGGUCGCACGCGUGCUACAAUGACGCCACGAACGAGCUUGCGUGAUGAAAGUUACGCAUAAUCAGCAGUCGGCGUCUUAAGGGAUAGUCUCUUGUAACUGUGGGACUCCAACUAGGAAUGUCUCGUAAGCACAAGUCAACAUCUUGUGUUGAUUACGUCCCUGCUCUUUGUACACACCGCCCGUCGCUCCUACCGAUCGAGUGUUUAGGUGUAAUUUGAUGGACGUAAGGAAGUCAAAUAAACUUGAGCACUAGAGGAAGGAGAAGUCAACAUA
rnacentral:rRNA from 1 species